UACGAAGGUCCCGAGCGUUAUCCGGAUUUAUUGGGCGUAAAGGGCGCGUAGGUGGCGCCGUAAGUCGGGUGUGAAAUUUCGGAGCUUAACUCCGACACUGCAUUCGAUACUGCGGUGCUUGAGGACUGGAGAGGAGACUGGAAUUCAUGGUGUAGCAGUGAAAUGCGUAGAGAUCAUGAGGAAGACCAGUGGCGAAGGCGGGUCUCUGGACAGUUCCUGACACUGAGGCACGAAGGCCAGGGGAGCAAACGGG
rnacentral:rRNA from 1 species